GACGUAGGAUGCAAGCGUUGUCCGGAUUUAUUGGGCGUAAAGAGUUCGUAGGUGGUUUGCUAAGUCUGAUGUUAAAUACCGAGGCCUAACCUCGGAACCGCAUUGGAUACUGGCAGACUGGAGUACAGUAGAGGCAAGCGGAAUUCCCAGUGUAGCGGUGAAAUGCGUAGAUAUUGGGAAGAACACCAGUGGCGUAAGCGGCUUGCUGGGCUGUAACUGACACUGAGGAACGAAAGCCAGGGGAGCGAAUGGG
rnacentral:rRNA from 1 species